UACGGGGGGGGCAAGCGUUGUUCGGAAUUACUGGGCGUAAAGGGCUCGUAGGUGGCCAACUAAGUCAGACGUGAAAUCCCUCGGCUUAACCGGGGAACUGCGUCUGAUACUGGAUGGCUAGAGAUUGGGAGAGGGAUGCGGAAUUCCAGGUGUAGCGGUGAAAUGCGUAGAUAUCUGGAGGAACACCGGUGGCGAAGGCGGCAUCCUGGACCAACACUGACGCUGAGGAGCGAAAGCAUGGGUAGCGAACAGG
rnacentral:rRNA from 1 species